UCCAGACUCCUACGGGAGGCAGCAGUGGGGGAUAUUGCACAAUGGGGGGAACCCUGAUGCAGCGACGCCGCGUGGGUGAAGGAGCGUUUCGGCGCGUAAAGCCCUAUCGGCAGGGAAGAAGGAGGACGGUACCUGACUAAGAAGCCCCGGCUAACUACGUGCCAGCAGCCGCGGUAAUACGUAGGGGGCAAGCGUUAUCCGGAUUUACUGGGUGUAAAGGGGGCGCAGACGGCAGCGCAAGCCAGGAGUGAAAGCCCGGGGCCCAACCCCGGGACUGCUCUUGGAACUGCGCGGCUGGAGUGCAGGAGGGGCAGGCGGAAUUCCUGGUGUAGCGGUGAAAUGCGUAGAUAUCAGGAGGAACACCGGUGGCGAAGGCGGCCUGCUGGACUGCGACCGACGUUGAGGCCCGAAAGCGUGGGGAGCAAACAGGAUUAGAUACCCUCGUAAA
rnacentral:rRNA from 1 species